rnacentral:rRNA from 1 species
CAGUAGCCACGGUAAUACAGAGGGUGCAAGCGUUAAUCGGAUUUACUGGGCGUAAAGCGUGCGUAGGCGGCUUCUUAAGUCGGAUGUGAAAUCCCUGAGCUUAACUUAGGAAUUGCAUUCGAUACUGGGAAGCUAGAGUAUGGGAGAGGAUGGUAGAAUUCCAGGUGUAGCGGUGAAAUGCGUAGAGAUCUGGAGGAAUACCGAUGGCGAAGGCAGCCAUCUGGCCUAAUACUGACGCUGAGGUACGAAAGCAUGGGGAGCAAACAGGAUUAGAUACCCGCGUAGUCCCUGUCUCUUAUAC